rnacentral:rRNA from 1 species
ACAGAGGGUGCGAGCGUUAAUCGGAGUUACUGGGCGUAAAGCGCGCGUAGGCUGGUAUUUAAGUCAAUUGUGAAAUCCCCGGGCUCAACCUAGGAAUUGCAGUCGAUACUGAAUAUCUUGAGUAUGGAAGAGGAAAGUGGAAUUCUCGGUGUAGUGGUUAAAUGCGUAGAUAUCGGGAAGAACACCGGUGGCGAAGGCGACUUUCUGGACCAGUACUGACGCUGAGGCGCGAAAGCGUGGGGAGCAAACAG